rnacentral:rRNA from 1 species
GACGAACGCUGGCGGCGUGCUUAACACAUGCAAGUCGAACGAGUGGCGAACGGGUGAGUAAUACGUGGGUAACCUGCCCUCUUUUCGGGAUAAGCCAUGGAAACGGGGUCUAUUACCGAAUAAAGGGGGAUGGGCUCGAGGCCUAUCAGCUUGUUGGUGGGGUGUUGGCCUACCAAGGCGGUGACGGGUAGCCGGCCUGAGAGGGUGACGGGCAACAUUGGGACGGGGAUACUGCCCAGGCACGUACGGGAGGGGGCAGUGGGGGAUAUUGCAAAAUGGGGGAAAGCCUGAGGCGGGGGCGCGGAGUGGGGGUUGAGGGCGUUAGGGUUGUAAGCCUCUUACGAUAACGGACGGGUAGGUGGAGAGGAAGCGCCGGCUAACUACGUGCCAGCAGCCGCGGUAAUAC